AGGGUUCUUUCAUUAACACUUGGCAUCGUACUAAAGUUUCAUCGCUUUGUCGUCUCUACGGAUCUGUCGACUUAAAGGCGAUAGAUCAGAUGGGUUACCGUUUUUAACAUAAACGUACAGAGGAAUAAUGAAUCUUUAUUGAUGCUAUAAUUAUAUUGAGAGGAUUGAUAAAUCAACUAAUCAAACUUGAAGCUGAAGGUUUAUCACAUAAAAAUGCUCGUCGAGAAAAGUAUAUAUGGUAUAAAGUUCUUUUUAAGGAAUGUUAGUGUGAACGCAUUAAAUUCACAGUUUUGGUGAGAAACGUUCUCUGCGUGACACCUAAGCAUUUUACUAAAUAAAAGAUUCUCGUGAAGCCACAUCAUCACGUCACAUUCCUUGCCAAUAAACUAUUAAGGUAAGUUUUAAAAAUGCUUCUCCUUUAAUAUAUAGGAGAUUUCGGUAUAUAGCUGCAAUUAUUAAAUUAUUCAAUAAGUUAAACAAACUAUACGUGUAGGUCAUAUUCUUCAUGAACAAAGUAGUUCGGUAUAGAUAGCUGCAAUUAUUAAACUAAUCAAAACUGACAAAAUACAGAUGAUCAGAGAUAUUCAAGAGGCAAGAGUUGUGAGUAAACUCAAACAUACCACGCAGGAAGUCUGAUCUUCUGAUACAAAGAACUAUCAUGCACACUUUUUCCAAAAAUAAAGAGAUUGAUAAAGCAACCAUCCUAUCAUGUCAUCCCGGCUCUGUAAAAGGAAAAACUAUACAAAUAAUAUAUAACUUAUAUCUUCAAGAAUGUGUAAAUGUAUAUAGGAGUAUUAAACCACUACUCGACAUGUAAACUAUGCAAAUAAAAGCGGUGAUGCAACUCGGGCUUAUAAAGCAUUCAAAUCCAUUGAAUCACCUCUCAAUUUUUGUUGACUUUCUAAGCGCAUUGGUUUUAUCUUGAUUUUAUUUUCCAGUACUGCAUUUAGGUAUUCGCAAUCGAAGUUGGAAUGUUAGAGCAUGAUUAUCCAAGGAUUUUAAGAGGGUUUCUAAAGAAAAUCACUGAUUUAAUUAAAUCAAAAGUCAUAAUAAUUUGAGUAACCGAUCUUUAAUGUGAGAUUUUGGGGACUGUUUUAAAGAGGGGUUUUUAAAACACGUGUCAGCGUAUCAUGAAUUUUUUUUUUUCUUUCUUAUUUUUUCUUUUCUCUCUUUCUUUUCCUCUGUUUCUCUCGUGUUCUCUGCCUUCUUUGUCGGCGUUUCCUUCUCCUCUCUGAUUCUCCAGUGGACGACGAUGAGUUUAUGUUAAUCAGAAGCAUCAAGCAAACCCUCUGGUUCGCGAGACCUCUAUUCCGCCAUUGAAAAGGCUCUUAAAGGUUCACCAAUCGCCGGAUUAUUCCCUCCUCUUCCCCAAUGGUUUCCACUUAUAGUCGCUCUUGUAGCCUCAGGGUAAUUCCCCUCCGAACAUCCUUCGUCGGAAACUAUGUUAUGAGAGGUUUGUUGCAAGUGUGAAGCAAGUGUCAUUGUCAUCACUCACCUCGUGAAGCAAGUGUGAAGCAAGUGUCAUUGUACAAGUUUUGUAUGCAUGUGCGUAAGCAGUCACGGAGUUGUAUUGUACAAAAGUCAUGAAUAGAGCGUUUGUAUGCUAGUGUAUUAUCAGUGUACAAACUUUUGUAUGCUAGUCAGUCAGUCAUGAAUAGAUUGUUUGUAUGCUAGUGUCUUCUAUUAUCAGUCAGUAAGUCACAAGCUUUUGUCCAAUUCACGGACUGUUCUUUCCUUGUAUUCAAGUCAUGAAGACCAUAAAAGGCUUCUAUUAUCACUCU